rnacentral:misc_RNA from 1 species
AAGACAAAAAUGCCAUCCCUGCAGAUAGCUGGUAUCUGCUACAGAACCUGGGAGGGCAGUAAGACCCGUCAUCAUGGAGUAGAUCUAUAACACUGGCAGUCGAACAAGCUGCUGCCAACGAAAGUAUAGAUAGCACCCAAUCACCCACAACUACGAUCACCAUAACACCAGGAAGCCGUAGAGGGCAUCCAACAAUGAUAGAGUAUAUAUCUACAAUUCCA